rnacentral:rRNA from 1 species
AAAGGGAAAAGGGCCUUACCAUGCAAGUCGAGCGGUAGCACAGAGAGCUUGCUCUCGGGUGACGAGCGGCGGACGGGUGAGUAAUGUCUGGGAAACUGCCUGAUGGAGGGGGAUAACUACUGGAAACGGUAGCUAAUACCGCAUAACGUCGCAAGACCAAAGUGGGGGACCUUCGGGCCUCAUGCCAUCAGAUGUGCCCAGAUGGGAUUAGCUGGUAGGUGGGGUAACGGCUCACCUAGGCGACGAUCCCUAGCUGGUCUGAGAGGAUGACCAGCCACACUGGAACUGAGACACGGUCCAGACUCCUACGGGAGGCAGCAGUGGGGAAUAUUGCACAAUGGGCGCAAGCCUGAUGCAGCCAUGCCGCGUGUGUGAAGAAGGCCUUCGGGUUGUAAAGCACUUUCAGCGGGGAGGAAGGCGGUGAGGUUAAUAACCUUGUCGAUUGACGUUACCCGCAGAAGAAGCACCGGCUAACUCCGUGCCAGCAGCCGCGGUAAUACGGAGGGUGCAAGCGUUAAUCGGAAUUACUGGGCGUAAAGCGCACGCAGGCGGUCUGUCAAGUCGGAUGUGAAAUCCCCGGGCUCAACCUGGGAACUGCAUUCGAAACUGGCAGGCUAGAGUCUUGUAGAGGGGGGUAGAAUUCCAGGUGUAGCGGUGAAAUGCGUAGAGAUCUGGAGGAAUACCGGUGGCGAAGGCGGCCCCCUGGACAAAGACUGACGCUCAGGUGCGAAAGCGUGGGGAGCAAACAGGAUUAGAUACCCUGGUAGUCCACGCUGUAAACGAUGUCGAUUUGGAGGUUGUGCCCUUGAGGCGUGGCUUCCGGAGCUAACGCGUUAAAUCGACCGCCUGGGGAGUACGGCCGCAAGGUUAAAACUCAAAUGAAUUGACGGGGGCCCGCACAAGCGGUGGAGCAUGUGGUUUAAUUCGAUGCAACGCGAAGAACCUUACCUGGUCUUGACAUCCACAGAACUUAGCAGAGAUGCUUUGGUGCCUUCGGGAACUGUGAGACAGGUGCUGCAUGGCUGUCGUCAGCUCGUGUUGUGAAAUGUUGGGUUAAGUCCCGCAACGAGCGCAACCCUUAUCCUUUGUUGCCAGCGGUUAGGCCGGGAACUCAAAGGAGACUGCCAGUGAUAAACUGGAGGAAGGUGGGGAUGACGUCAAGUCAUCAUGGCCCUUACGACCAGGGCUACACACGUGCUACAAUGGCAUAUACAAAGAGAAGCGACCUCGCGAGAGCAAGCGGACCUCAUAAAGUAUGUCGUAGUCCGGAUUGGAGUCUGCAACUCGACUCCAUGAAGUCGGAAUCGCUAGUAAUCGUAGAUCAGAAUGCUACGGUGAAUACGUUCCCGGGCCUUGUACACACCGCCCGUCACACCAUGGGAGUGGGUUGCAAAAGAAGUAGGUAGCUUAACCUUCGGGAGGGCGCUACCACUUUGGUCAGGC